AAGAAGAAGAAAGUGUCCCGUGCUUCGUCUGCAGUGUUUUCAUUGGCCGUUCUUCGUGCAGUUAACGACAUAUAUUUUAACAAAAUGUUCCAGUUAAUGCCAUCAGCACCCCAGUCGCGAAGGCCAGAACGUGGCGGGAUUAAGGGAGCUGUAUUAAGUGUGUACUAUGAUCCUUUUAAAUGGUCAGUCGUGAAAAGUGUUUUAUUCUUUAUUGUCGGAGUAAAAACUGCAAAUGAUUUUGUGGGAUUCGAUGUGUUAAACCCAAAUCCACAGUAGGAUGAAGUUUCAGGUAGGCUGAGUCAGUACAACACUAUGUUCAUGGAAGGUCAUUCAGCAUUAAGCACAAGGAAUUGUAAAAAAUUACCCUAGAUAAUUGUUAUAGUAAUUGGCAAUAUUGUCGUCAAAGCCAAUGAAAGGAAGACCGGUCUUCAUAACCUCAGUUAUGUCAUAAAAAAAAAAUAUGUGAGAAUUUUAGAUUAAAAUUUUUUAUAUAUAUC